rnacentral:rRNA from 1 species
UACGUAGGGGGCUAGCGUUGUCCGGAUUUAUUGGGCGUAAAGAGCGUGUAGGCGGCCAGGUAGGUCUGGUGUGAAAACUCGAGGCUUAACCUCGAGAUGUCAUCGGAAACCAUCUGGCUAGAGUCCGGAAGAGGAGAGUGGAAUUCCCGGUGUAGCAGUGAAAUGCGUAGAGAUCGGGAGGAACAUCAGUUGCGAAGGCGGCUCUCUGGACCAGCACUGACACUGAGGCACGAAAGCGUGGGGAGCAAACAGG